CAAAUGAUCCUCCCAAGUAGCUGGGACUACCUACAGUACAGGUGUGGGGAGGCCCAUGGGCUCCAGCCUCAUUUGUGUGAGACCACAAGAGUGACCCCUGGCCACACAGCAGAGAAGACCUGACUGGGGGUCCUGCCUCCUUAGCCCAGGUCCAGGCAGUGGUGGGGGAGGGUGCCUUGAAGGCUCCCGUCCCUGGUUUGGACCCUGCAAACGCGGCAGCGGGUGUCCCGGAGGAUUGUGCACACAGGAUGCUGGACAUGCCACAUUUUGUUCUGAUUCCUCAGGAGAAGAUCCUACUUGGAGGAGCCCGCUCCUCCUGGGGGCAGUCUCCCACCUUGAUCUACUCUGAGACUUUGAAACUUUUUUGGAAAUGGAGGCUUUUCUUCAGCCAGGCCCACCUGCCCUGAACUCAAAAAAACAAAAAGCUAGAAGCUCAGAGGAGGAGGAGGAGAGCCAGAGAUCAAAUUUGGACUCCAAGGGGCAGAGGUCAACAGGCUGGAGCCACUGGCCCCCAGGGGUUCCAGGCCUUAUCCUGUGUCCUGGCCCCUGACCCCACCAGCCCAUGGGAGCCCACCCGAGUGCCCCAGAACCACCAGCUCCGUUGAGACAGGAAAGCAUGUGACAGGAAGGGAGCUGCCCCUCUCCAAGAGAGCCCCCCAGCCCGGACCAGCUGCAACAGUAGUGACCUUUUGUGCCCCUGCCCCCAUCUGUUCAGGGAAGUAUCCGCAGCAGGGCAGGGGGUGGGUCUGUGUCCCUGCUUAUCCAUUUGUGGCGGCAACCCCCCUGAGCCCCCUGUGCCCUCCAGCCAGACAUCUGAGCAUGCACCCCACCCCCACAGGGCCUGCUGGUCUUGAGAACUCUACCCCACUGGGCUGUCACCCUCCCCCACAGAGGAGCCUGGAGGCCCUUGAUUUAUGCUUUGGGAGCCUGCAGAGCCAACCUUGGAGAAGAAAGAAAAGGAGAGAGAGAAAACCAGUCCCAGAGGCUGGAGGGGCAGGAGCCAAGAUUAGAACCCCUGGCAGAGGGCAUCCAGCUGGGCAUAAACCAACCACAGCGGCCCCACGCUCAGGGAGCACUGCCUGGGCCUCAGGAAAGCUGAAGCCGUCCUGGCGGGAGGGGGAGCUGAGUCUGCACAAACGCCUCUGCUCAGGAAAUGGGGUACAGGGAAGGUGGGGGUGGCUUGGAGCCCAAGGACAGGAGGGGAUGCUUCCUGGCGGAUGCAAGGUCAGAAGAAGGGGCGGAAGUGGCCAGGACAGCUGCUGAACAUCUGGAGUCACAGAGAAUUAAUUACCCAGUGCCCGCAAGGACAGUGGGGUUGUGGGGGGCGUGGCUUGUGAGAGCCUGCUCCUUCCUGGCUCCCUGCGGGGCCUGUCCUCUGUCUCUGUCUCUUGCCCGGGAUGAAGGACACUUCUGAGCAGCCCUUCCCCCCCGACACCUAUCCCAGGAGAGAAGAUGCCAUAAAUUGUCCCGUUUUGAGUCUUCAACCACACUGGAAGCCUGUGACCACACAGGACACACCCUUCGGGUGACCAUGCUGUGUGUAUGUGGAGAGGAGGGGGGAAGGGCCAGAGCCCCACGAGGAACUGGGGAGAAGUCACUGUCCCUGCCCAACACUGCUGCUUAAGCCUCUGGGCCCCCCAAGCCUACAGGUGGCUCCCGCCCCAGACCUACUUCUCCUCCCCUGUGGGAAUGGGUCAAGGUCACUCCAGAAUCCUUGACCCCUACCUCGUGUUCUGACAGGUGGCAAGGGGGGGACAGCCACAUGGCUCCCCAUGUCAGGAUAAACUCUGGUAGGAGUCAAGAGCCCUGCAGCCCUGAUGUGAUCUGAAUUCCCUGGGACUCACCACCCUUCCCCGGGCAGGGUGCAGUUUGCACGAUUUCUGCAGAAUUUGAAGGGUCAUCCAUCCUAUGUUCUGGGGCCAAUCUCACCCCUGGCUUAGAAGACCUUCAGAGGUCUUAUCCUUGCAACACCCAGGUUUUGAUAAAAUGUGAGUGUUUAAUUAUUGUUAUUGUUAAUAAAAGUGCAACAUUCUCACUGCAA